rnacentral:rRNA from 1 species
GACGAACGCUGGCGGCGUGCUUAACACAUGCAAGUCGAACGAAGUGGCGAACGGGUGAGUAAUACGUGGGUAACCUGCCCUCCUUUUUGGGAUAAGCCUUGGAACCGGGGCCUAAUACCGAAUAAAGGGGGAUGGGCUCGCGGCCUAUCAGCUUGUUGGGGGGGUGAUGGCCUACCAAGGCGGUGACGCGUAGCCGGACUGAGAGGGUGACCGGCAAUAUGGGGAGUGAGAGACGGCCCAGACGGCGACGGGAGGGAGCAGUGGGGGAUAGUGCACAAUGGAGGAGAGCCUGAUGCAGGGAGGCCGCGUGGGGGAUGGGGGCUUUAGGGUUGUAAACCUCGUUGGCAGGCGAUCGGGUAGGGGGAGAAGAAGCGCCGGCUAACUACGUGCCAGCAGCCGCGGUAAUAC